AACGCGAAGAACCUUACCUGGUCUUGACAUAGGAAUCUCGCAGAGAUGUGGGAGUGCCUUCGGGAACCUGGAGACAGGUGCUGCAUGGCUGUCGUCAGCUCGUGUCGUGAGAUGUUGGGUUAAGUCCCCCAACGAGCGCAACCCUUACCCUUAGUUGCCAGCAUUCAGUUGGGAACUCUAAGGGGACCGCCGGUGACAAACCGGAGGAAGGUGGGGAUGAGAUCAAGUCAUCAUGGCCCCUAUGACCAGGGGUACACACAUGCUACAAUGGCCAGUACAAAGGGUUGCCAACCCGCGAGGGGGAGCCAAUCCCACAAAGCUGGUCGUAGUCCGGAUCGCAGUCUGCAACUCGGCUGCGUGAAGUCGGAAUCGCUAGUAAUCGUGAAUCACCGAUGUCACGGUGAAUACGUUCCCGGGUCUUGUACACACCG
rnacentral:rRNA from 1 species